GCGCAGCAGGCGCGAAUCCUCCGCAAUACACGAAAGUGUGACGGGGUUACCCAAAGUGUCCAAAUUUGGACUGUGGUAGGUGAGUAAUGUCCCCUACUAGAAAGGAGAGGGCAAGGCUGGUGCCAGCCGCCGCGGUAAAACCAGCUCUUCAAGUGGUCGGGAUAAUUAUUGGGCUUAAAGUGUCCGUAGCCGGUUUAGUAAGUUCCUGGUAAAAUCGGGUAGCUUAACUAUCUGUAUGCUAGGAAUACUGCUAUACUAGAGGGCGGGAGAGGUCUGAGGUACUACAGGGGUAGGGGUGAAAUCCUGUAAUCCUUGUAGGACCACCAGUGGCGAAGGCGUCAGACUGGAACGCGCCUGACGGUGAGGGACGAAAGCCAGGGGAGCGAACCGGAUUAGAUACCCCUGUAGU
rnacentral:rRNA from 1 species